rnacentral:rRNA from 1 species
AUCGAACGCUGGCGGCAGGCCUAACACAUGCAAGUCGAGCGGAGCUGCGGACGGGUGAGUAAUGCCUGGUAAUCUGCCUGUUAGUGAGGGAUAACGUCCGGAAACGGGCGCUAAUACAGCAUACUAUCAGAUGAGCCUAGGUCGUAUUAGCUAGUUGGUGGGGUAAAGGCUUACCAAGGCGACGAUCCGUAACUGGUCUGAGAGGAUGAUCGGUCACACUGGAACUGAGAAACGGCCCAGACUCCGACGGGAGGCAGCAGUGGGGAAUAUGGGACAAUGGGCGAAAGUCUGAUCCAGCAAUGCCGCGUGGGUGAAGAAGGUCUUCGGAUUGUAAAGCACUUUAAGUUGGGAAGCGUUACCUAAACAGUAAGCACCGGCUAACUUCGUGCCAGCAGCCGCGGUAAUUC